rnacentral:lncRNA from 1 species
CUAUAAAAGAUGUAACAGAUGCAAACUGUAAAACAAGGGCAAUUAACCCCUGCUCUGCUGGACAGAAACCCCCCUGUCCUCCCCAGCCAUUGUCCUCUCCUGCACUGCAAGUUUUGCACGAAACGGCAAA